GGGGCUGUAGUUCAGUGUUAGAGCAUUCGCCUGGCAUGUGUGAGGCACUGAUUUCAAUCCUCAGCACCACA
rnacentral:tRNA from 1 species